rnacentral:rRNA from 2 species
AUUGCCUUAGUACGGCGAGUGAAGCGGCAAAAGCUCAAAUUUGAAAUCUGGCACCUUCGGUGUCCGAGUUGUAAUUUGAAGAAGGUAACUUUGGAGUUGGCUCUUGUCUAUGUUCCUUGGAACAGGACGUCACAGAGGGUGAGAAUCCCGUGCGAUGAGAUGCCCAAUUCUAUGUAAAGUGCUUUCGAAGAGUCGAGUUGUUUGGGAAUGCAGCUCUAAGUGGGUGGUAAAUUCCAUCUAAAGCUAAAUAUUGGCGAGAGACCGAUAGCGAACAAGUACAGUGAUGGAAAGAUGAAAAGAACUUUGAAAAGAGAGUGAAAAAGUACGUGAAAUUGUUGAAAGGGAAGGGCUUGAGAUCAGACUUGGUAUUUUGCGAUCCUUUCCUUCUUGGUUGGGUUCCUCGCAGCUUACUGGGCCAGCAUCGGUUUGGAUGGUAGGAUAAUGACUAAGGAAUGUGGCUCUACUUCGGUGGAGUGUUAUAGCCUUGGUUGAUACUGCCUGUCUAGACCGAGGACUGCGUCUUUUGACUAGGAUGUUGGCAUAAUGAUCUUAAGCCACCCGUCUU